GACGGCCAAAACAAACUCCUUCAAAUAAAUGGUAGUAAAGAUAGUUCGUCGUAUAUUAUCAAUCGUAUGAAUUUAAUACAGUUUUAGAAGUUGAAGACAUGGGUUUUAUGGUUGAGAAGAGUUCUACUAAACCCAGUUUGAAGCUGCACUUGUUGUGGCUUGGAAUGCAGCCGUUGUAUGAAGACGUGAAAAUCUGUGAUUUAGCGUCGUAAACAGAGCGAG
rnacentral:lncRNA from 1 species